rnacentral:rRNA from 1 species
GACGAACGCUGGCGGCGUGCUUAACACAUGCAAGUCGAACGGAAAGGCCCUGCUUUUGUGGGGUGCUCGAGUGGCGAACGGGUGAGUAACACGUGAGUAACCUGCCCUUGACUUUGGGAUAACUUCAGGAAACUGGGGCUACUACCGGAUAGGAGCUCCUGCUGCAUGGUGGGGGUUGGACAGUUUCGGCGGUUGGGGAUGGACUCGCGGCUUAUCAGCUUGUUGGUGGGGUAGUGGCUUACCAAGGCUUUGACGGGUAGCCGGCCUGAGAGGGUGAACGGGCACAUUGGGACUGAGAUACGGCCCAGACUCCUACGGGAGGCAGCAGUGGGGAAUAUUGCACAAUGGGCGGAAGCCUGAUGCAGCAACGCCGCGUGCGGGAUGACGGCCUUCGGGUUGUAAACCGCUUUCGCCUGUGACGAAGCGUGAGUGACGGUAAUGGGUAAAGAAGCACCGGCUAACUACGUG